CAUUGAAGGUUCCUGAGCGGCCUAGUUACAGUUUUGACUUAAAUCGUCUUGAAAAUCCAUGGCAUGGCUUGAAAAGCAACUAGACAGAGUUUUAAGAAUUUUUAAAAGAAUAAUGUGUAAAUAUUGUACAAUCCAGGUGUGCAAAGAUCUUAGAGACCUACCCAGAAAGACUCACAGCUGUAAUCACUGCCAAAGUUCCAGGGGAUGGUGUGGCUGCCCCUAACACUACUGAAAUGGACCCUGGGACAGAGCCCUCUCACCUGUCUCAAAGCGCCACGGACCCUGAGGACCCCUCAAUGACAUUCUUCACCGUGGACUAUGAAAUCACAGAUUGUUGGUGGGACUGAGGUUCACAUGGUCAUCAUUGGCGAUCCAGCUUGCCCACUGAAAAGGUGGCUUACCAAAGGAUUCCCAUCUAACAAAUCGGAGAAGGACUUCAACCACGUGUGGUUGUAGAAAAUUAUUUUGGUUAGCUCAAAGGCAGGUGGCGACGCGUCAUGAAGCAGGUAGAUAGGAAUGUUGCUCUGGUCUCUGAAAUUGUUCACGCAUGUUGUGUCUUCCAAAACAUUUGUGAGAUCCAUGGGACGGAUACCUUAAUCCCUGAGUCUGUGGUCAGUCACAUAACAAGAGAUGCCAGUAAACACAGAUGCUGGACAUGCUCCACCCACCCUCUGCCUGCCCACACUGUAAUAGUUUCCUUUUAAUUAUUUUAAUUUUAAAUGAACUGUCUUGUGUCUUGAACUACUCCAGGAUUAAAUAUUCACAUUGUCUCCUUUCAUUCAGAUAGUUGUAUUAAAUCUAGAAAUAUCUUGUAACAUUAAACAUUUUUAAAAAACAAUUAAUCAAUUGACUAGUUGAACAGUAGAAGAUUUACUUAAGUUGUAGCUAUAAAUUGAAGCUACUCGUACAUGUCAUGUUUUUAUUGUUAUUUUCAGACAGAUUAAAAAAUCUAGUUAUAUCUUGUAACAUUAAACAUUAAACAUUAACAAAAAAAAUAUGAAUCAA